GCCGGGGUGGCGGAAAUGGCAGACGCGCUGGGUUCAGGACUCAGUCCGCUUCGGCGGGUAGGGGUUCAACUCCCCUCCCCGGCA
rnacentral:tRNA from 1 species